UGGGGGAAUAUUGCACAAUGGGCGGAAGCCUGAUGCAGCGACCGCCGCGUGGGGGAUGAAGGNCUUCGGGUNGUAAACUCCUUUCGACAGGGACGAAGCGUAAGUGACGGUACCUGUAUAAGAAGCACCGGCUAACUACGUGCCAGCAGCCGCGGUAAUACGUAGGGUGCGAGCGUUGUCCGGAAUUACUGGGCGUAAAGAGCUCGUAGGUGGUUUGUCGCGUCGUCUGUGAAAUUCCGGGGCUUAACUCCGGGCGUGCAGGCGAUACGGGCUGACUUGAGUGCUGUAGGGGAGACUGGAAUUCCUGGUGUAGCGGUGAAAUGCGCAGAUAUCAGGAGGAAUUCCGAUGGCGAAGGCAGGUCUCUGGGCAGUAACUGACGCUGAGGAGCGAAAGCAUGGGUAGCGAACAGGAUUAGAUACCCUGGUAGUCCAUGCCGUAAACGGUGGGCGCUAGGUGUAGGGGGCUUCCACGUCUUCUGUGCCGUAGCUAACGCAUUAAGCGCCCCGCCUGGGGAGUACGGCCGCAAGGCUA
rnacentral:rRNA from 1 species